rnacentral:other from 1 species
AACUCCAGGGGAAUGAGGGCAUCGCCUCCUUUUGGUGAAGGACACUCCCUUCUGAUGGAGAAUGGGAACUCCCUUCCUCCCGCAGCGGCCUGCCUGCAGCGCUCCUGCUAGUUCGGUGUGGACACUGUAGGCUGCUGCAGCUGCGUCACCCCGGAAAGAAAGUGCCUCAGAGCC